GCGUUCAUAGCUCAGUUGGUUAGAGCACCNNCCACCUUGACAUGGUGGGGGUCGUUGGUUCGAGUCCAAUUGAACGCACCA
rnacentral:tRNA from 1 species